rnacentral:rRNA from 1 species
AUUGAACGCUGGCGGCGUGCUUAACACAUGCAAGUCGUACGCGAAAGGGACUUCGGUCCCGAGUAAAGUGGCGCACGGGUGAGUAACACGUGGAUAAUCUGCCUCUAUGAUGGGGAUAACAGUUGGAAACGACUGCUAAUACCGAAUACGCUCAUGAUGAACUUUUGUGAGGAAAGGUGGCCUCUGCUUGCAAGCUAUCGCAUAGAGAUGAGUCCGCGUCCCAUUAGCUAGUUGGUGGGGUAACGGCCUACCAAGGCAACGAUGGGUAGCCGAUCUGAGAGGAUGAUCGGCCACACUGGAACUGAAACACGGGUCCAGACUCCUACGGGAGGCAGCAGUGGGGAAUAUUGCGCAAUGGGCGAAAGCCUGAUGCAGCGACGCCGCGUGAGCGAGGAAGUAUCUCGGGUAUGUAAAGCUCUAUCAGCAGGGAA